rnacentral:rRNA from 1 species
GAUGAACGCUAGCUACAGGCUUAACACAUGCAAGUCGAGGGGAAACGACAUCGAAAGCUUGCUUUUGAUGGGCGUCGACCGGCGCACGGGUGAGUAACGCGUAUCCAACCUGCCCACCACUUGGGGAUAACCUUGCGAAAGUAGACUAAUACCCAAUGACGUCUCUAGAAGACAUCUGAAAGAGAUUAAAGAUUUAUCGGUGAUGGAUGGGGAUGCGUCUGAUUAGCUUGUUGGCGGGGUAACGGCCCACCAAGGCGACGAUCAGUAGGGGUUCUGCGAGGAAGGUCCCCAACAUUGGAACUGCGACACAGUCCAAACUCCUACGGGAGGCAGCAGUGAGGAAUAUUGUUCAAUGGGCGAGAGCCUGAACCAGCCAAGUAGCGGGCAGGAUGACGGCCCUAUGGGUUGUAAACUGCUUUUAUAAGGGAAUAAAGUGAGUCUCGUGAGACUUUUUGCAUGUACCUUAUGAAUAAGGACCGGCUAAUUCCGUGCCAGCCGCCGCCGUAA